UACGGAGGGUGCGAGCGUUGUCCGGAAUCAUUGGGCGUAAAGGGCGCGUAGGUGGCCCGGUCAGUCCGUGGUGAAAGCGCGGGGCUCAACCCCGCGUCGGCCAUGGAUACUGCUGGGCUUGAGCACUGUAGAGGCAGGCGGAAUUCCGGGUGUAGCGGUGGAAUGCGUAGAGAUCCGGAAGAACACCAGUGGCGAAGGCGGUCUGCUGGGCAGUUGCUGACACUGAGGCGCGACAGCGUGGGGAGCAAACAGG
rnacentral:rRNA from 1 species